rnacentral:rRNA from 1 species
AGGGCACCACCAGGAGGGUAACCUGCGGCUUAAUUUAACUCAGCACGCCAAAACUCACCCGGCCCGGACACCGAAAGGAUUGACAGACUGAAAACUCUUUCUUACUUCGGUGGGUGGGGGUGGAUGGACGGUCUUAUUUGGCGGAGCGAUUUGUCUGGUUGAUUCCGAUCACUAACAAGACUCUGGCCUACUUAAUAGACGGAAUAUCCUAACGAACGACGCUCUUCUCUAAGGGACAAGCGGCAUUUCCCCACAUGCAAUAGACUUCUAACAGGGCCGUGAGGCCCUUAGACGUCCGGGGCUGAGCGCGCGCUAGACUGAGAUAACCUUAGUGGGCUGGACCUGCACCCGCAGUACCCUGAAACCCACGUAAAGUCUUUCAUGCUUGCCAGAAGGAAUUGCAAUUCUCUCCCUUUUCCUACGAGCUCCCAGUAAAUGCGUGCCAUUAUCUCGCUUAGACUACGUCCUUGCCCUUUGUGCACACCGUCCGUCCGUACUACCGACUGCACGACUUAUUGA